rnacentral:lncRNA from 1 species
CGAAAUGUCGUCAGACCUUCGAACAGACUCCAGGUAAAGUACAGGGGCGUGUAUCUCAGCAGCGCAUUGGUCAAGCUGGGUGAUUGACACGUCUAUAGAACCGUCAGAGCCAGUAGAAUCGACGGACAGCAUCACGGACACCAUUCGCUAUCUGUGAGGGGGCGAACCCACUGUGACGCGUUUUUCCCGACGCCAUUUGACAUGCGACUUCCGCAUGUGUAGUCGGAGUAGGAGGAGCAGGCGUUGAUUAACAUCUUGAAAUGAGGAGCGGUCUUUGUGCUAAGCCAACGGAAUCGGAUUUAUGGAUCAAGACACAACUUUUCCCGCAAAUACUUCGACGGGACAACCCUGCAGACUAAUACACCAAGAAGGAAUGGCAUUCAAUUGUCCGACAGGCUAUAGUGGACCAAUUUCUGCAACUGUCGAGAGAGAGAGAUCUGCUCCUGCAGCAGGCAGCGGUGACGCCUCAUCAGACUUCCAGCAAGCCCUGUGGCCCCUGAUGGCGCCACAGCUGGGUGGAUGGACAUGAUCACUCACUCACAGACAGGAUUAACCCCCCCCCACCCCACAACUGCAUCUGUCUUUGCUGUCCUGUUUCUAAUCUCUGUCUCCUGGCCUCUGUCUGUCUUCCCGCCUCAGCUCGUCUCUAUCCCACUGUGCUCUUGUCCGUGUCACAGUGGUGUUAAGUCUAGACGUUGGAGGCUGUAGCCCAUGUUCUUCAGACCACUGUUUACCGAGCAGGCUUCCACAGUAUUGGGCGUUUUUGUCGGUAAGAUGCAGAGUUGUGCUGCAAACGUCCAUCGAGGACUAUCGCCGCGGCUAUGUUUCAUUACAUGUAUCAUAUUCUUCUACACAUAAUAAAAUAAUUGAAACUUUUGGUUGAAAAGAUUUUUGCUCUCUUACAGACUAUUAAUGAUAAGGCUUCAUAAUUACUGCUUUAAAAUAUUCGACAUGAUCAAAGUUCCUGCGCUGGCUUUUGUCAGAAGAGGAGAGGACCGAUCAUUUGACUUUUACAGCGUUUAAACGGGUCCCAUUAUUACGUCCCAGAGACUCUGUGAUCACACGCGUGUUAUCUGAAAAUGCACUCAAUUUUAAUGUCUAUUUACUGUCUUUGAAUCCCGCUGCUGUACAGAGAACUCUGUGAUCUUUCUCCCCU